GCGGAACCUUUAUUUACCACGCUCUUGACUUGUUUUUAUACAGUCUAUGCUUGGAACCUUUUCUUGUGUGUUAUCAAAUUGCUUUGCAUUUUAAAAAGUCAACCACUUGAUACACAUAGAAAACAAUAGUAUGAAAAUAGGAUGAGGCAGACAGACAGAUGGACUGAAAUUGGCAACAGAAAUGACUGCACAGGAGAGACAAUCAGGGCUUUCCCAAUCCAACUUCCAGGCAGCAUGUCCUCUUUAGACCUGAACUAGUUCUGCAGGUCACCCCCAAAAAAGCUGCUGGAGGUUUGUUUGGAAAUGUUUCAAGGACAGUGUUUAGGGGGUGUUUGUGCACUUCACUUAGUAAUCAGAUGUUCAUACUUCAUUUGCAUUUGGAGAGAGAUGGCAGAACACAGGGAAAUCUGAUCCCGGCACCACAUGCCAAGCUUGUGCAUGAAAAUCAAUGCACAGUCACUACACUGUAGAUUUGGCUGCCAUCUUUUCAUGGCUAACAUGUGUCACUGAUCAGAGGUGAUUUUAUUCACAACCAAUCAAAUAGCAUGUGGUUAAAGAAGGUGGCUGAUUAAAACAUAAUUCUCAGUGAGUUUCCAGAGUUCUUGACUAAUUUUAUGGAUUAAAUAAAUGAAUAAAUGACUUUUUAGUAAUUUAGUACUUUUCUAUUUUUUGUUGUUGAAAGAUUGUUAGCAUUGUCACCCAAAAAAGAAAAAAGCCACUUCAAAGGGGAAACAUGUAAGAUUACAAACGUGUUUUUCUUUUCUUUGGAAUUCAAUUCAAUGAUAUCAUAAAAUGCGUACGACAAAAUCAGGAACUUGUAAAAAACGUUUCAUGUGCACGUUAGAUUCUCUGUGGAACUGUGGUAAAGUGAAAACUGUAAUUGGUUGAUUUGGUGUUUUAUUCCGAAAGUGCUUCCAGAUAUAUUGUGCCUUUGUGUUGUUUGGAUUUCUCUAUUAUUAAAGAUUUAUAGUUAUCAUGAUCAAA